rnacentral:rRNA from 1 species
AUUGAACGCUGGCGGAAUGCUUUACACAUGCAAGUCGAACGGCAGCACGGGGGCAACCCUGGUGGCGAGUGGCGAACGGGUGAGUAAUACAUCGGAACGUGCCCAGUCGUGGGGGAUAACGUAGCGAAAGUUACGCUAAUACCGCAUACGAUCUACGGAUGAAAGCGGGGGACCGUAAGGCCUCGCGCGAUUGGAGCGGCCGAUGUCAGAUUAGGUAGUUGGUGAGGUAAAGGCUCACCAAGCCGACGAUCUGUAGCUGGUCUGAGAGGACGACCAGCCACACUGGGACUGAGACACAGCCCAGACUCCUACGGGAGGCAGCAGUGGGGAAUUUUGGACAAUGGGCGCAAGCCUGAUCCAGCCAUUCCGCGUGCAGGACGAAGGCCUUCGGGUUGUAAACUGCUUUUGUACGGAACGAAAAGGUCUCUCUUAAUACGGGGGACUCAUGACGGUACCGUAAGAAUAAGCACCGGCUAACUACGUGCCAGCCGCCGCCGUAA